rnacentral:rRNA from 1 species
CCUACGGGUGGCAGCAGUGAGGAAUAUUGGUCAAUGGACGCAAGUCUGAACCAGCCAUGCCGCGUGCAGGAAGACGGCUUUAUGAGUUGUAAAUUGCUUUUGUACGAGGGUAAAUCCCGAUACGUGUAUCGGGGUGAAAGUAUCGUACGAAUAAGGAUCGGCUAACUCCGUGCCAGCAGCCGCGGUAAUACGGAGGAUUCAAGCGUUAUCCGGAUUUAUUGGGUUUAAAGGGUGCGUAGGCGGUUCGAUAAGUUAGAGGUGAAAACCCGGGGCUCAACUCCGGCACUGCCUCUGAUACUGUCGAGCUAGAGUUUAGUUGAGGUAGGCGGAAUGUAUGGUGUAGCGGUGAAAUGCAUAGAGAUCAUACAGAACACCGAUUGCGAAGGCAGCUUACCAAACUACGACUGACGUUGAGGCACGAAAGCGUGGGGAGCAAACAGGAUUAGAUACCCGAGUAGUC